rnacentral:rRNA from 1 species
AUUGAACGCUGGCGGCAGGCUUAACACAUGCAAGUCGAGCGGAGAGAGGUAGCUUGCUACUGAUCUUAGCGGCGGACGGGUGAGUAAUGCUUAGGAAUCUGCCUAUUAGUGGGGGACAACAUUUCGAAAGGAAUGCUAAUACCGCAUACGUCCUACGGGAGAAAGCAGGGGAUCUUCGGACCUUGCGCUAAUAGAUGAGCCUAAGUCGGAUUAGCUAGUUGGUGGGGUAAUGGCUCACCAAGGCGACGAUCCCUAGCUGGUUUGAGAGGAUGAUCAGCCACACGGGAACUGAGAAACGGUCCAGACUCCUACGGGAGGCAGCAGUGGGGAAUAUUGGACGAUGGGCGCAAGCCUGAUCCAGCCAUGCCGGGUGUGUGAAGAAGGCCUUCGGGUUGUAAAGCACUUUCAGUAGGGAGGAAGGGUUAAGUGUUAAUAGUACUUAACUUUGACGUUACCUACAGAAGAAGCACCGGCUAACUCUGUGCCAGCAGCCGCCGUAACAC